rnacentral:lncRNA from 1 species
GCCCCCGUGGGACGAGGCAGGAGCAUCCCGGCCCCCCCUCCGGCCCCGGGAUGGGGCAGGAGCAUCCCGACCCCCGCCAGCCCCGGGACAGGGCAGGAGCAUCCCAGCCCCCCCCCUGCCUCGGGACAGGGCAGGAGCAUCGUGGCCCCCCCCAGCCCCGGGACGGGGCAGGAGCAUCAUGGCCUGCCCCCAUGGGACAAGGCAGGAGCAUCGUGGCCCCCUCCAGCACCGGGAUGGGGCAGGAGCAUCGUGGCCCCCCCCCAGCCCCGGGACGGGGCAGGAGCAUCAUGGCCUGCCCCCAUGGGACAAGGCAGGAGCAUCCCGGCCUCCCUCAGCCCCAGGAUGGGGCGGGAGCAUCCCGGUCCCCGGCAGGCCGCCACGGCGCUCACCUCCAGGCCCUCGGGAUCGUCCGUGUGGGAGAUGCUGUACUGGGAGAGCUUGGGGCCGGCGGCAUCYGGGCGCUCGUAGAAGAUGAGCUGGGCCGGUCCUUCCUGCAAAGGCACCGGGUCAGGCGGGUGGGAGCCCCCCGGGACGGGCACGGGGCACGUUUGCUGCCCCGGGGCCUCCGCCCCACACUGCAGGGCCCCACGAGCGUCCUGAGGGGCUGCUGCACUCUCCCGUGCACUGCAUUGCAUCCCCUCGUCUGCACUGCACUCUCCCCCUCCCCGCAUGCACUGCGCUCUCCCAUGCACUGCAUCCUUCCCCGCCGUGUGUGCACUGCACUCUCCCAUGCACUGCGUGCUCCCCCUCCCUGCGUGCACUGCACUCUCCUGUGCACUGCACCCUCACCUGCCCGUGGGCACCGCAGCCUCCUCCAUGCACUGCAGGUCCCCUGACUCCCACGCACUGCACACCAUCCACCCCUCCCCGCAGGCACUGCACCCUCCCCUCCACCCCCUGGGCAACUCCCCCCCAGCUCCGGCACUGCACUUUCCCAGGCACCGCACCUCUCCUCCCAGCUCCAGGCACUGCAAGGCUCUGGGCACUGCAUCCCCCAGGGCAGACACUGCACUGCCUCCACCAUGCACUGCCCCAGCCCCCUGCACUGCACCUCNNNNNNNNNNNNNNNNNNNNNNNNNNNNNNNNNNNN